GAUGAAGAACGCAGCGAAAUGCGAUAAGUAAUGUGAAUUGCAGAAUUCAGUGAAUCAUCGAAUCUUUGAACGCACAUUGCGCCCGCCAGUAUUCUGGCGGGCAUGCCUGUUCGAGCGUCAUUUCAACCAUCAGGCCCCCGGCUUGUGUUGGGGACCUGCGGCUGCCCGCAGGCCCUGAAAACCAGUGGCGGGCUCGCUGUCACUCCGAGCGUAGUAGCAUAUAUCUCGCUCAGGGCGUGCUGCGGGUUCCGGCCGUUAAAAGCCUUUUUUUACCCAAGGUUGACCUCGGAUCAGGUAGGAAGACCCGCUGAACUUAAGCAUAUCAAUAAGCGGAGGA
rnacentral:misc_RNA from 1 species